rnacentral:rRNA from 1 species
UACGGGGGGAGCAAGCGUUGUUCGGAUUUACUGGGCGUAAAGGGCGCGUAGGCGGUCAUCACACGUCAGUUGUGAAAUCUCCGGGCUUAACUCGGAAAGGUCAACUGAUACUGUGCGACUAGAGUGCGGUAGGGGAGACUGGAAUUCCUGGUGUAGCGGUGAAAUGCGCAGAUAUCAGGAGGAACACCGGUGGCGAAGGCGGGUCUCUGGGCCGAUACUGACGCUGAGGAGCGAAAGCGUGGGGAGCAAACAGG